CAAGGAUUCUGCUGAGAGAAUUGCUCCGAGGGUUGCUCAAGUGAUCAUGGGAAAUAAUGCAUCAAACCAUUCUUUAGAUGCAGCUCAGGUGUGCCUUUUCUUCGCCUGUGCCCAUCCACCUGAGAUGGACCAUAACCAUAAAAGUCAGAAGGCACUGACCCUUCAGGACGUGACAGGGUUAAAAGAUGCUGGAGGGAAAGUCUGUCAUUGACUUUUAUUCACUUCCUUUCUCCAUUCUGCCAUUUGGAAGAAGCAUAAAUUGCAGAUGAUAAUUCAAAUUCCUGCAUCAGGUGGAAAGUAGCAGAUUUAAAACACUGCAAAGAAGGGGCUGAGCAGUGAGACGGAUGCUUUGGAACAAUCGAGAAAGUAAGAGCCAGCUGUAAGGUUGCCUGCAGCCAUGGAGCAAUGAAGUGUCAAGGUCAAAGAUCCCCCCAGGUCACGCAGUCCUGCCACUCUCCCUCCCUCUAUGGCCCUGCGCACUUCCAGUGGCAUAGCUAGGGUGGAUGAAGGGGACACCUCUGACCACAUCUCUCUGCCCUCUGACUCAAGUCCUUCCUGCUAUAAUGAAAUCCCCCAUGCUCCCUGAGUUUGGCAUCUACUUAAUCAAAGAAUGUGGAGACUUAGUUCUCAGGAGGGCCGCUACUGAGUGGGUAUGCCACUGGUCAAGAGGGUAACAGGAGACAGAAGACCCAGGAGGAGACUUUGGCCUAAAUGGAUCAGCAACACCACAGAGCAUCCACUCCCCCAGAGCAUCACCCGGAAGGACCAUCCGUUCGGAGACAUCCUGGGAGAACAAGAGGUUUCUUGUCUGACUCUAAAAUUUAUUUUAUCAGUG
ensembl:lncRNA LINC02236 long intergenic non-protein coding RNA 2236